UAGAAAAAGAAAGAAAAGAAAAAAAACCCUGACCCUAUUUGUUUUUAGCAGGAGUCAGAUCGACCAUCUCUUCCCCUGCCUGAGAAACUUCAAGCUGCACUGGCUUUCAGGGAAUUAGAAGGAUGCCAGGAUCAGUGUUUCAGGUGGGCUGAUGGUACGUAAUGACUCAACAUUCUUCCUUCUUAGUUGUUGAGGUCACAAGACGCCAGCAUGUCGCCACAACAGAUCAGUUAGCUCAGCGAUCCCCAACCUUUUUUGCGCCACAGACCGGUUUACGUCCGAUAAUAUUUUCACGGACCGGCCUUUAAGGUGUCAGGGAUAAAAACAACAAAAUAAAACCAGUACUAGUACAAAAGAAAGAAGACUUAUUUAUAGCACAUGGGAAAAGGCCCAGGGAAACAGAGUUAACGGCAAAAACGAUUAAAAAAAAUGACGAUAAAAACCCUGAAAAUCACACCCAAGCCUCAACUCUCGUGGCUCGGUACCAAACGACUCAUUGACUGGUACCGGUCUGUGGCCCGGGGGUUGGGGACCGCUGACUCAGCUGACUUUCCAACAAACAUGGUUGACAUCAUAUUGAUUGGCCCGAUAUUGAUGUUGUAUCCACAAACACAUCCAGCAAGAAAUAUUUCUCACAGUAUUGCAAUAAAGGAAACGUGUUUUUUAAAUACAUUUGAUUAACAAGAAAUUUACUAACUGAAAGGUUGUGAACAGCCACACAACAUCCACCUCUCUUACACAGAGUAGUAUUACAAGAUUUUAUAGGGUUAUUUUUGUUGUUUUAAUCUAAAACACUAUAUUCUGCCACAGGAUCUUUACCCUACAAUAUAAAGCACCGUGAGUUGACUGUUGUGAUUUGGUGCUAUGUAAAUAAAACUGAAUUGAAUUGCCUCUCUGGACACAUAUCUAAUCAGUGUUGGUCAGUUCACUUGGUGAGAUAAGAAAUAGACUUCAGAGACAGAAGUCACUGUUCGAGUCUCCCUUGCAGCAGCUCUGGGUCCCAUUCUGAAACUUGUAUGAUUAAACCCUUUGGUUUUCUUAGAAGCCAGUGCCUCAUAGUCACAGUAACAUGAUCGAUCACUGUGUGUGUAAACAAUACUUCAUUUUAUAUAGACUAGUUGACUAAACAGAGGAAUUGGGGACCUUAAAGAUUAAAUAGUUGAAUUCUCUAAACAUUAGGGAAAGGUGCUUCCAUGUUUCCUUUGCUACAGGAUACACUUGAGCGCCACUUGUAAGAUAAGCCACAAUUCAAUGUGACGCACCAUUUGACCAUUUAUGGAAAUAAACCAGUGACGAUUGACGCAAAUCAUGUAAAUUACUGGUGAGUUUUGCAUCUUGUUGUGCAACUUGCUAACAUGUAAAUACAUUUUGAACUUUAACGUAUUUGUGUAAACCUACAGUAUAUGUGAACAACAAUGCAGCAUUGCUUCAUUUUAUUCUGCUUGUUAUGAAGUUGUUGCCUUGUGCAAAUCUCCUGAUGACAUUAGAAAAGUUCACUACAAAUAAAAAUACCGAGCUAUACUGAAGUGAAGCGAUGGUUCUAAUGCAACUUGGUUUGCAUUAGUUUUGUCUUUGUUUAUGAAUUUUCCUCCACCUUUUGUCCUGACCUCAUGCCCUUGUCUAUUGACGUAAAGGACAAGUGGUUAGGAAAAGAUCUGGAUGGCAAUGUUUUUGGCUGUUUCACUGCAACCUUUGAUGCCUUCUGCCAUUAUAGUGACUAACACAGCCUCAGGUUUCUAGUACUGAACAGAGACAAGCCCAUUUGCAACCAGAAGCAAAGUUGAUUCAAG
ensembl:lncRNA